CCUGGAACUCACUUUGUAGACCAGACUGGCCUCAAAUUCACAGAGAUCUGUCUGCCUCUGCCUCCUGAAUGCUGGGAU
ensembl:miRNA